rnacentral:rRNA from 1 species
GACGAACGCUGGCGGCGUGCCUAAUACAUGCAAGUAGAACGCACAGUUUAUACCGUAGCUUGCUACACCAUAGACUGUGAGUUGCGAACGGGUGAGUAACGCGUAGGUAACCUGCCUGGUAGCGGGGGAUAACUAUUGGAAACGAUAGCUAAUACCGCAUAAUAUUGAUUAUUGCAUGAUAAUUGAUUGAAAGAUGCUAUUGCAUCACUACCAGAUGGACCUGCGUUGUAUUAGCUAGUAGGUGAGGUAACGGCUCACCUAGGCGACGAUACAUAGCCGACCUGAUAGGGUGAUCGGCCACACUGGGACUGAGACACGGCCCAGACUCCUACGGGAGGCAGCAGUAGGGAAUCUUCGGCAAUGGACGAAAGUCUGACCGAGCAACGCCGCGUGAGUGAAGAAGGUUUUCGGAUCGGAAAGCUCUGUUGUAAGAGAAGAACGGGUGUGAGAGUGGAAAGUUCACACUGUGACGGUAUCUUACCAGAAAGGGACGGCUAACUACGUG